UACGGAGGGUGCAAGCGUUAUCCGGAUUCACUGGGUUUAAAGGGUGCGUAGGCGGGUUGGUAAGUCCGUGGUGAAAUCUCCGAGCUUAACUCGGAAACUGCCGUGGAUACUAUCAAUCUUGAAUAUCGUGGAGGUAAGCGGAAUAUGUCAUGUAGCGGUGAAAUGCUUAGAUAUGACAUAGAACACCAAUUGCGAAGGCAGCUCACUACACGAAUAUUGACACUGAGGCACGAAAGCGUGGGGAUCAAACAGG
rnacentral:rRNA from 1 species